AAAGUCGUAACAAGGUCUCCGUUGGUGAACCAGCGGAGGGAUCAUUAUCGAGUUUACAACUCCCAAACCCCUGUGAACCAUACCAUCGUUGCUUCGGCGGGAUCGCCCCGGCGCCCCAGGCCCGGACCCAGACGCCCGCCGGAGACCCAAACUCUUUGACUUUUAGAGGUUUCUUCUGAGUAACACAAGUAAAUAAAUUAAAACUUUUAACAACGGAUCUCUUGGUUCUG
rnacentral:misc_RNA from 1 species